GCGAAAGCGCCUGGGAGACGUAGUUCCCCGCGUUUAAAGGUCCGCCAGCUCCCGCAGCCAGUACUAAAUUUAGAAUUUAGCUUCUACUCUUCUUCGGAAAUGGAAGAUGUAGGUCCCUUUGUGGUUCAGUCUUGCUUGUCCAGCAACCUGCACAGGUUGGGCCACCAGAGCUCUUCAGGAAAGGAGAAUUGCACCAUACCUCACCUUGGCUCAUUUACUUGCUUUUUAACACCCUACCAUUGUGCCUCUUCUACAAGGAUCAUGCCAGGACAGCCAGGAGAGAAAACUUUCAUCAUUAUCCACAGAGACUUCUGGGAAAGGCAUGAAGUCUAGAAUGAGUCACAAAAUGUUUUAUUAGACCAUAAUCCCUGUACAAAGGCUGCUAAUUUGCAGUGUGUGCCUUAAUUGAGAGGGCCACUCCAAUGACCCUUCAAAGAGCAGCUUCUUUCAAUAAAAAGAAACUAUGCUCUAC